AAAGCCAGAGAACAGCACGAUGUGAGUUGAAAGAGCUCAGCAGAGUAUGAUCGUUUUUGAAGAUCACGGGCUCUUUGGCUCUUUUAUCGGAGUGGAAAGGACACUCACGCGCACAAUUUAGAUGAGAUCAAGGUUCUUCACCAUCUACCCCAAGAUCAGGCUAUAAAUGGUCAUGCUUCUCCAUCCAAAAUUUUCAUCUCUUAUUUCGUUUUAUGUUAGUUUCAGAUCCAAGUGAGAAAAGAGAAUGGUGUUUUGGCUUUCAAACUAGACUUGUUGUUCAUGACCUUCUAAAGCUACGGUUGCCGUUCGUGACCUUCUAAAGCUACACCACGGAUUAGGUGGCAUCGGAAAAGGGAAUCUUGAAGUCAUUAGAGGCUAUACAAGUCUACAGCGAAAACAGAGUUAAAUCAUUUGCGUCUUAGUUCUGUUAUUACUCUGAUAUUAAAUAUUUUGGCAGGGAUCUUAACUUUAACUAAAUGGUUUCUUUUGAUUGACUGAUCUAAAUUUAGUCUUCUGAUGGAGAAGUCGAGGAGGAUUAUGAAGCGGAUUAUGAUGAAGAUGAGGGAGAGAGGAGGAUGAAGGUGAAGAGGAGGAGGAGGAGGAGCUGAACCAAGAAGAAGGAGAAGCCGAGGAGGAUUAUGAAGCGGAUUAUGAAGACGAGGGAGAGGAGGAUGAAGGUGAGUGAGAGGAGGGUGAAGAGGAAGAGCUUGAGCAGGAGGACGAAAAUGUGCUUCUUGAGGAGGAGGAGGAGGAGGAGGAGGACCAAGCAGAGCACUGAUCAGUGAGUACGAGGACGAAAAUGUGCUUCUUGAGGAGGAGGAGGAGGAGGAGGAGGAGGAGGAGGAAGCAAAGCACUGAUUGGUGAGUACCGUUCUUGAUAAAUUUCUGACUUAGAAUCUUGAGAGUUCAAUCUCUGGUUAGCAAUUUUUCUGUCAUGAUCCGAUUAUUCUUUUGACUCGAUUAGGAUCUUUUAAAAAAAUUCACUUUUUUAGGGAUUUUCUAUGAGAGUGGGCAUCCCCUCUUGGCUCGUGCCCAUACAAUUUAAUAAUCACACGACCAUGAUCAUAUUUUGAGACGAUGAUUGCUCUCUUAGAUGUCCUAUUUACAACAAUGACCUGUGUAAUCACCUCCUGAACUUCUUGAUGCAACAAAAACCAGUGUAAAAUCAGUAUUAGCAAUCGAUGUUAAGGUCUCCUACUGGCUAUCAUUAGCAAAGUUUUCAAACCUACACCAUUUUACUUUAACCCGCAUUGCUACAUUGAUUCUUUGACAAGGUGUAAGAUACGUAUCAAAUGCGAUUCCCGUGAGUGAUUUAUCCCUCCUAUUUUAAACAUCCAGCACAUAAAGCUAAUCUCGUCAUUUUUGCAUGUUUUCCCAACAUUUCCUGAGUCAGUGUUUUAAUCAUUCUUUCAAAAAAUAAAAAUAAAAAUCCUAGUCUAGAUAUCAUUAGUCUGAUCUUUUUAUCCGUUGAAAUUUCAAAGAAUAUGAAAAGUCUUCUUCAAUAAAAUUACCAAGUCCUAGGCAUAAAUGUCAAUCCAACUCUGCUUCUACACUUCCAUUAACCUAACUUAGAUCACUGAUGCUUACUUUGAUAACACAAGUAAAUGACAAACCCAAAAGCAUUAAAAAAAAUUAAUUACAAAAUGAAGCAAAACUUAAUUCCAAUCUUACUUAUUAGCAUAAGUUUGUGACUCGAUAACUAAUUUUAUCUGUGACUUCAUUACUGACAUUAGUCAUGGGAAAAUAUUGUCUUUGAGAAUGAUGAAAAUGAUAUGAAACAUGAUUGAAAGUAUCAUGCAUUAGUAACAAUUAAAAAUUAAUACUAGUUAUUAUUUGGUUCGAAAUUUUAGGUAAUUUUUUUAACCUGGUGUACUUCCAAUGAGUGAUUUUUCAGAAUUACAGCCAGUAACAUUUGAAAUAGUUAUGUUUUGGUUGGAAAGCACACCCAUCGUAGUUUCAUAUAAUCUAUUUGUGGAACCUCUAAUGAUAAAUGGCUUGAAGAAGACUAAAUUUAGAUCAGUCAAUCAAAAGAAACCAUUUAGUUAAAGUUAAGAUCUCUGCCAAAAUCUUUAAUAUCAGAGUAAUAACAGAAUUAAGACGCAAAUGAUUUAAACAGUCAAUCCACCGAUAAGACAGAUACAAGCAUACAGGCAAUCGGCUAAAACAUUAAGUCAGAUCAAGAAACUCCCAAAGCACUAACCAAGCAUGAACAACCCUAUGGAACAUGUUAACUAUUUACAAGUAAAUUCGCAAUAUAAAUGCAAGCCAAAUCAUAAAUUCAAUUUAUCGAAAACAUAACAUGCUGGAUUUAUAAGGUCCACGGGAAUCGCAUUUGAUACGUAUCUUGCACCUUGUCAAAGAAUCAAUGUAGCAAUGCGGGUUAAAGUAAAAUGGUGUAGGUUUGAAAACUUUGCUAAUGAUAGCCAGUAGGAGACCUUAACAUCGAUUGCUAGUACUGAUUUUACACUGGUUUUUGUUGCAUCAAGAAGUUCAAGAGGUGAUUACACAGGUCAUUGUUAUAAAUAAGACAUCUAAGAGAGCAAUCAUCGUCUCAAAAUAUGAUCAUGGUCGUGCGAUUUUUAAAUUGUAUGGGCAGGAGCCAAGAGGGGAUGCCUACUCUCAUAGAAAAUCCCUAAAAAAGUGAAUUUUUUUUAAAGAUCCUAAUCGAGACAAAAGAAUAAUCGGAGCAUGACAGAAAAAUUGGUAACCAGAGAUUGAACUCUCAAGAUUCCAAGUCAGAAAUUUAUCAAGAAUGGUACUCACCGAUCAGUGCUCUGCUUCGUCAUCGUCCUCCUCCUCCUCCUCCUCCUCCUCAAGAAGCACAUUUCCGUCCUCCUGCUCAAGCUCUUCAUCUUCACCCUCCUCUCCCUCACCUUUGUUGGAAAUUAUAGUUAAAUCUAGAAGUAAACAGUGAUGGAUGACGUGCUGUUAUUUUAAAUUUUUUAAUUAACUGCUGUGCAUUUGUGAAACGUUGUGCUUAAAGUAAUAUUUGGCCUACUCCGGUGCAA